UGACUCCUUCUUCGGAUAUUACCGGAUUUGUGAUAUAAACAUAUAUAUAAUUUAUUUAAUAAAUUUCAAAAAAUCAUAUCUUCUUCAUACGAACUCCAUUUUCACUGGUCUUUAUAUCCACGCGUAGGUGAGACUACGCUCUACAACUUUCGUUUAGACUCCGUUGGCAAAUUCUGAAAUUAUUAUUUCUUUAUUAAUUAUUUAUAAAAUGACGUGAUUAAGGAAUUUCUUUAAAAAUUCAUAACUUCUUUACCUGACAUCGGUUUUUGCCAGACUUUUCACCGCUGAAAUACCAUUGUCGAGACCUUCGAUUCUCGUUUAGGUCAUUCCGGCCAAAAGUCGCUCGAUCUCCGAUUCGAGUUUUUAGCUGUCUGUUGCUAAGCCGAACUUGGAAAAAUCUUAACUUCAAUAUACGAAGCCGGAUUUGGGCGUUCUUUUUACGUACGAUCAUGGUUUAAUGACAUUUAAACAUAGAGGGAAUUUAAAUAGAACUUUUUGGACAUUUUAUUAUCAAAGUUAAUUUUAUUAACUCAAAAGUGGUUACAAUACUUGACUUUUUAGGUCAUUACAAAGAGUUGAAAUAUCGGGUUGUCACAUCAUCCCCCCGUUAGAGGGAAUUUCGUCCCGAAAUUUAAAGUAGUAAAGAUACUAGUGAACAUGAAAGAGAUGAGGGUACUUUUGUUUCAUCUGAUCUUCGCGUUCCCAUGUGAAUUCAGGUCCCCGCUUGGCGUUCCAGCGAACCUUCACGAUGGGUAUGCGACUUUGUUUUGUUUGUUUGACCUCUCGGUCCAUGAUUUCUACUGGUUCUUCCACAAAGUUGAGGCUCUCGUUGAUCUCGAUCUCGUCGAGUGGAAUAACAAGAGUCUCGUCGGACAGACACUUUUUCAAGUUUGAGACGUGGAAGGUUGGAUGGAUGUUACUAAGUUCGNNNNNNNNNNNNNNNNNNNNNNNNNNNNNNNNNNNNNNNNNNNNNNNNNNNNNNNNNNNNNNNNNNNNNNAUUACAAGUGUUUCGUCGGACAAACACUUUUUCAGGUUCGAUACGUGGAAUACUGGAUGUACUUUGUUAAGCUCGAUUGGAAGUUGGAGUUUGUAGGCCACUGGACCAACUCUCGAAAUGAUUUCGAAGGGUCCAAUGUACCUGGGAUUUAGCUUUCCACGCUUCCCAAAGCGUAUCACGCCUUUCCAGGGUGAGACCUUCAGUAGCACACGGUCGCCAAUCUGGAAUUCCAAGGGUUUACGUCUCCUGUCGGCAUAGCUCUUUUGCCUAUCCCUUGAGGACUUCAGUCGUUCUCGUAUUUGCACGAUCUUUUCAGUCGUUUCCCUGAUGAUCUCCGAACCAGAGAGGGUGCUAUUAGGGACUAGGCCUUUUGCCAAUUGCGUGUCACCCACUUCCGUCCAGCAUAGAGGUGAUCUGCACUUACGGCCGUAAAGGGCUUCGAAUGGAGCGGUCUUGAUACUAGUAUGGUAACUAUUGUUAUAAGAGAACUCGACCAAAGGUAAGUGAACAUCCCAUGCCUUACCAAAGUCGAUUACACAUGCUCGCAACAUGUCUUCCAAGGUUUGGAUCGUCCUCUCACUCUGUCCGUCAGUUUGUGGGUGGUAUGUUGUACUCAUGUCCAACCUUGUUCCCAUGGAUUUUUGCAGUGAUUGCCAAAAUCUGGAAGUGAACCUGCUGUCUCUAUCUGAGAUGAUGGACAUUGGUACUCCAUGAAGUCGUACGAUCUCCCGGAUGUAGGUUCUUGAUAGUUUUUCCAUCCUAUCGGUUUCCUUGAUAGGUAAGAAAUGGGCUGACUUGGUUAAUCUGUCGACGAUUACCCAAAUAGUAUCUUGGCCACUCUGAGUUUUGGGCAGUUUGGUUAUGAAGUCCAUGGAAAUCUGCUCCCAUUUCCACUCAGGUAUUUCAGGUUGUUGGAGUAGGCCUGAGGGUUUUUGGUGUUCUAUUUUUAUUUUGGCGCAAGUUAAACACUUGCCCACAUACGUAGCGAUCUCCGCUUUCAUGUUUGGCCACCAGUAGAGUUGCUUGAGAUCUAGAUACAUCUUGUCUGACCCUGGGUGUACGGAGUAUGGGGUCCUGUGUGCCUCGCUCAUAACUACCUCUCUGAAUCCCCCAAACUUUGGUGUCCAGAUCCGGUUCAUGAGGUAGCGUGCUCCGUCACUCUUGAUUUCUAAGUUCUUGUCCAUUCCCCUAAGGGCCUCACCUGCCACGUUUUCGGGUUUCAAGGCCUCUAAUUGAGCUUCCUUGACUUGCGUUGAUAGGUGCGAAUGGAUCGACAUAGCUAAUGACUUCACUCUCCGGCCUGAGUACUCCUUUCGACUAAGGGCAUCGGCUACGACGUUUGCCUUUCCCGGAUGAUAGCGAAUAUCGCAUUCGUAAUCACUGAGUAGCUCGACCCAUCGCCGUUGUCUCAUGUUGAGCUCCUUCUGAUCGAAAAUGUGUUGUAAGCUCUUGUGGUCGGUAAAGAUAGUGCUCUUCGUUCCAUACAAGUAAUGUCUCCAGAUCUUCAGGGCAAACACUACUGCUCCUAGCUCAAGAUCGUGGGUCGUGUAGUUAACCUCAUGUGUUUUCAACUGUCUCGAGGCGUAGGCGAUGACCUUACCUCGCUGCAUCAGAACACAUCCGAGUCCUUGGUUUGAUGCAUCGCAAUAAACUACGAAGUCUUCUAUUCCUUCGGGAAGGGAUAGUAUUGGUGCGGUGCACAAGGCUCGUUUGAGCGUUUGGAACGCUCUUUCUUGUUUCUCUUCCCAGUCAAAGGCCACACCUUUCUGGGUUAGGGUUGUAAGAGGCUUCGCUAUUCGUGAGAAGUUCUGAAUGAACCUGCGGUAGUAGCCAGCGAGACCUAGAAAUUGACGAAUUUCUGUAGGAGUCUUCGGUGCUGACCAGUUCUCAAUGGCCUUAAUUUUGGAUGGGUCCACGUGGAUUCCCUCUUCGCUUACCACGUGUCCUAAGAAUUCGACUCUUCGGAUCCAAAAUUCACAUUUCGAGAACUUCGCAUAAAGUUUCUCUUUUCGUAAUAUCCCUAGAACUUGUCGCAGAUGAUCGCCAUGCUCUUUCUUACUUCGGGAGUAGAUCAGGAUGUCGUCAAUGAAAACGAUGACGAACUGAUCCAAGUAAGGUCGGCAUACUCUAUUCAUCAGAUCCAUGAAGACUGCGGGCGCAUUGGUCAAUCCGAAUGGCAUCACCACGAACUCGUAAUGUCCGUAACGAGUUCGGAAGGCGGUCUUCGGCACAUCCUCCUCUAGCACUCGUAACUGGUGAUACCCGGACCUCAGAUCAAUCUUAGAAAAAUAGUUCGCCCCUUGCAGUUGGUCGAAUAGAUCAUCUAUGCGCGGUAGAGGAUAACGAUUCUUGACCGUCAGUUUGUUGAGUUCUCUGUAGUCGAUGCACAUUCUGAACGAUCCAUCUUUCUUUUUCACAAACAACACGGGUGCUCCCCAUGGUGAGAAGCUCGGUCUGAUGAAUCCUUUUCCCAGUAGUUCAUUCAGUUGACUGGAUAGCUCCUGCAUCUCUGCCGGGGCUAAUCGAUAGGGUGCUUUGGCUACUGGGGUAGCUCCGGGAAUCAGAUCGAUUCUGAAUUCGACUUGUCUUACGGGUGGUAUCCCUGGAAGGUCCUCGGGAAACACGUCGGGAAAAUCGCAUACGUCGGGCACAUCCUUGAUGUCCCGGACUUCGCGUUUCACGUCUACAACAUGCGCUAAAAAUGCGUGACACUCCUUGCGUAGGUACUUCUGAGCUUGGAUACUUGAGAUGAUACUAAGAGUGGUACUAGGUUUGUCGCCCAAGACAAGGAAGGUUUCGCCGGUUGGCAGAUUAAGGCGAACGGCCUUAUCGUAACAUAAAAUGUCCGCACGAUGUGAACUCAGCCAAUCCAUGCCAAUGAUGACAUCGAAACUCUUAAUCGAGACUGGCAUGAGGUUGAUUUGAAAGAGAUUAUCGUUUAAAGUUAGGGUGCAGUUUAAAUAUAUCUCCUUAGUGCCUUCGGUUUUCCCGUUGGCCAUUUCUACUAUGAAUGGUUCACUUAAUGAUUGUGGUAUUGGUUUUAGCAUGCUUUUAAAGUCGUGACUCACAAAACUCCUUUCCGCUCCACUAUCAAACAAAAUGCAUGCAUACGAGUUAUCGAGAAGAAACGUACCCGUAACAACAGUAGGGUCCGCAAUGGCUUCAUCUUGUCCCAUUGCGAAAACUCGGCCCCUUCCGCCGGUAUUCCUGUUGUUUGCCUUCGGGCAAUUCCUACGGUAGUGCCCUGUGCCUCCGCACUCAAAGCAGGCGCGGCUUAUUCCGGUAUUAGAAGUGGGGGCGGAUUGUUGGGUUGGCUCUCUGAAAUAGCGGGCUGUAUGACCCUUCUUAUUGCACCUGGUGCAUUGAAGGUCACGGCAAAGACCGUGGUGGUGGAAGUUGCACUGGUUACAUUUCGGUAGUUUUCCAUUGUAUGAACUUGUGGGGGCAGAGUUGGUAGGUAUAGUAAUAGCGUGGGUUGCUACCACUUGUUGUUUCUUGGGGUUCUCCUAGAGGGUUUGUCCCCUCCUCUUGUUCCAAGGCUUACUCUGGCCCUGAGCCUCCCUAGGUGGAUUUGCGGCUGCUGUAAUGGUACUCUGUUUCACUCCGUGGUCGAUGAGUCGUUGCGCCAGGCGUUUAGCGCUGUUGUAGGUGAUAGGGUUGGAAGCUAGGACAUGCCCUUGAAUCUGGGGUGACAACCCCCAAAUGUACCUUUCGACCUUCUUUGAUUCUGGGUUGACCAUGGUAGGGCACAAAGCAGCGAGAUCGUUGAACCUAGCUGUGUAGGCGACUAGAUCAGAUCCGACCAUUUUCAAAUUCCAGAGCUCCUGCUCAAGCUUUUGCACUUCGCCCCUUGGGCAGUAUUCUUCCAGUAGUAGAACUUUCAGUUCUUCCCAAAUCAUGGCGUUAGCGACAGUGAGUGUCACCGAAUUCACAUGGCUUUUCCACCAAGUGACGGCUCGAUCUAUGAAGGUGCAAGCAGCGAACUUCACCUUGCUUGUUUCUUGGCACGAGCAGAUCUCGAAGACUGUUUCAGUCUUUUCGAACAUUGCAUUAGUGCAAUGACUCCUCCACUGCCAUUAAAAGUUUUUGGUUUUGAGUUGGAGAACUCCUUGUAAGUACAUUCCCUUACAUGGCCCUGGUCGGUACCAUGAUUGGGAUGAUUCGUGCUGCUUCUUGUACCUCCAUUUACAUUAGAGUUUAUUUGAGAGAGGGCUGCUGCUACUGCUGCUGUGAUAACAGCCUGGACCAUUGCCGGAUCAUAAGUUAGUGGUGGAGGUGGUGGUGGGGUUGCGUUGGUACGUGCUGAUCUACGAGGAGGCAUUGCUGCCAAAAGAAAAAUGAGAUAUUAUAAGUUUCGGUGGUUGCGAGUUGAAUGAUAUUGAGUUAACUACCUUAAAUAGAUUAAGAAUUUGGUUUGGCCAACACUGGGUUUUGAGCUUGAUUCAUUAAUAACGUUUGAAUGGGUGUACUUAUGAAUUCAAUAGACUACACAUAAUUACAACAAGAAAGAGAUAUGCCAUAAUUAAACAUAUAGUUGUGUUACAUCCGAGUUUAGACAAAAAUUUUUGACCUUUCUAAAGGUCUCCGAUUACAAAAGGUUUUAAAGAAAAUAAUAUUCUUAUCCGAAGUCCUAAUUUAUAACAAGAUUUGAAAUCCUGGCAAGCACUAUUUGCGACGUAGGUUGCACUUGGAGCUUGACUCCGCAUCUGAUUGCUUCGAUUCCAUUAGACGCCUAUCAAAAGCGGCUUGUUGCUCCCUUAACUUGGCUAGGGCUGCAAUCAUCUGUGCCUGAAAUGCCUCAAAUUGGAGUUGGGCAUGGUCCUGAAUUCCAUCCAGCCUACGGAUGUUAGAAGUGUGGACCUGCACUUCUACGUUGAUCUCGCAGAUCCGGUUGGCUUGAACUCCGGAUUAAUAGCAUUGGUUGGCUAGUUUGCCAACCAUGACCGGAAGUGCCCGGUCUGCCGAUCCCCCGCCUCUGACAUCAUAAAAGUCUCGGCACAUGCCGUAGGGAGGGCGUAAGCUUUGUUGUCGGCUCCAGUGGUGGAGGUGACUUCCCCACACAGGAGUGGGUCCUUGGAAGUUCCUCACAUGGACAGGAGGUUGUGGGGCCGGUGGAUUNCAUGCCGUAGGGAGGGCGUAUGCCUUGUUGUUGGCUCCAAUGAUGGAGGUGACUUCCCCAGACGGGAGUGGGUCCUUGGAAGUUCCUCACAUGGACAGGAGGUUGAAUGGGUGGUGGAUCGAUCACUUCCGGCUCUGAGUCAGUACCGGAGUCAUCACCCAAUUCUAUGGGUUCCUCGUCCUCUUCGGGAUCAUCUUCGAUCCAUCCUCCGUUGCCUUGGUUGGGAAAGUAGGGGUCAUUGGGGUGGUGAAAUCCAGCCAUUUGACUGUACGAGAAAUAGGGUUAUAAGAAUUGAAUAAAGUCGAAACAUGCAAAACAUGUAAGUUAAAUUAGUUUAGAUAGCAAAUACUCCUAUAGUAUUUAAAUUCUUGUGUUUGAUUCUAGUAACGGUUUGGUAAGUUUUAAAAUUUGUUGUCCACUAAAGACACUCCUCGGCACACGUUAGUCGGCUCUCGGACAAAUAUAGUUGAUCAGGCUAUAUCCUUCCCAGUUCCGAUUACAUGUCCCAAGGCGUACCUACACUGCACAACUUAUUUAUAAUACUUCUAAAAUGGUCCGAUGUGAAACUGUUAUUAGUACGAAAUGAAUGCAUGCUUACUUUACAAAAACUAAAUAAAUUUAAUUUCAAAAGUAUGACUCUUCUCAGAGUGUUUUUGCCCAGUUGAGUUUAUAGUUGUAUACCAAAAAUGGUUUUGAUAUACUUAAUUCACUAUAAACGAUGCUCUGAUACCAAUCUGUCACACCCCCAAACCAGAACGGCGGAAACGUUCGGGGGCGGAGGACGUCAUAUUCAGUAUCAUAACAGUUUAUAGAAAGGAAAGUACACACCACCAUAUAUAAGGGAUUUAAAAAUGUUUACAUCGUUGUAUUCAUUACAUGUUCAAAAGAUAAAUGCAUAAACAUCUUUCAAAAGAAGUAAAUAAUGCCAGCACGUUAUUCACCAAAAGUUGAUUUCCAAACCUGCUUAACGAUUCCCUGAGAAUACAAGUUAUUUCAAAGAAAAAGUGUCAACAAUUAAGUUGGUGAGUUCAUAAGUGAUUUAGAACCAUUGAAUGCCAUUCCAAAAUGAGUGUAUAUUUUCCAAGAAAAUCCCAUAUUUCCUUCCAAAAGUGUGAGAUGCAUGAGAAUCUUGGUAUUAAAAAACGUAGAUAGUUGAACCAAGAAAAUCCCUUAUUUUCUUAAUAGUUGUUUGUUUAAUGUCCAAGACUAACAUUUUGAAGCAAUCCACAUGCUUUAGAAGAAUAUUAAACAUAGAUUUAAAUAAUAAACCUAUCAGAAGAUUUCAGUUUGUUAGAUAAUGAAUAACUGUAGUAACUACUCAUUCAUUAUUCAAAAGUACUAUAAUAGUUGUGUAUCCGAUGAGUUUUAUAACCAUACUAAACAUAAUAUGCCUGUAGCGACGUUCUUCAGGCGUCGUAGCGUUAUGACAAACUGUCACCCCAAAAGACGGACUGUAGCUAACAGNNNNNNNNNNNNNNNNNNNNNNNNNNNNNNNNNNNNNNNNNNNNNNNNNNNNNNNNNNNNNNNNNNNNNNNNNNNNNNNNNNNNNNNNNNNNNNNNNNNNNNNNNNNNNNNNNNNNNNNNNNNNNNNNNNNNNNNNNNNNNNNNNNNNNNNNNNNNNNNNNNNNNNNNNNNNNNNNNNNNNNNNNNNNNNNNNAAUGUUUGGAACAUGAAUCAUAAGUUUUUAGAAUAUAUGAAACGGUUUAGCAACGAAAGAUACAUUGGAGUUACUAAAUACUUUGUAUAAAUCUAUUGCAUGCAAAGUGUAACAAGAGUUUUCACAUAGUAGAACUAAAUCACAAGUGAUUCAUUUGAUAAAAACGAGUAAACUGAAAUUCUAUGAAAUACACGAUAAUAAUCGUAUGUUUACUUGUAUUCCCCCCUAAAAGAGUAUAGAAAGCAUUUAAAAAUGUAUUUAAAGAGUGUUUGUAGGGGUAUGAACUCACCUGGAAGUUUGAAGAUAGCGAGAUGGAAAACCGGGCAGAGUUUCGUCUCGGGAAGCGGAUCUUUCUCGGGAUUCUUGGGAAUCUCGGGAGUAAAAUCGACUCUCGGGACUUGAGUAAAANGCUCUCGGGACAUGAGUAAAAAUGACUAGGGCUUCGGGUUUGAACGGGCACGGAAAACGAGGCAAAAUGCAAGGGAAAUGAGAAGAAAUGAGCAAGUUUUUCGGAAACCCUCACACUUCUAUUUAUAGGGGGUUUGAGAAGCCUCGGUACACGGGGUGUACACUCGUACACAGCGCGUACGCGUACGUCAUGCAUGAGCGAGUCCUCGACUGCCUCGGCUUCGGAUGGGACGGAUCGGAUGGGACGGGUCGGAUGGGACGGGUCGGUAGCUUCGCAUAGGGGCGACGUGGACGGACCGAGACCAAGGCCUUCGGGUACGCGGGGCAUACGGGGUUACGCAGCGCGUAACUCGAAUGAGGACGCUGACUCCUUCUUCGGAUAUUACUGGAUUUUUGAUAUAAAUUUAUAUAUAAUUUAUUUAAUAAAUUUCAAAAAAUCACAUCUUCUUCAUAUGAACACCGUUUUCGAUGGUCUUUAUAUCCACGCGUAGGUGAGACUACGCUCUACAACUUUCGUUUAGACUCCGUUGGCAAAUUCCGAAAUUAUUAUUUUUUUAUUAUUUAUUUAUAAAAUGACGUGAUUAAGGAAUUUCUUUAAAAAUUCAUAACUUCUUUACCUGACGUCGGUUUUUGCCAGACUUUUCACCGCUGAAAUACCAUUGUCGAGACCUUCGAUUCUCGUUUAGGUCAUUCCGGCCAAAAGCCGCUCGAUCUCCGAUUCGAGUUUUUUAGCUGUCUGCUGCUAAGCCGAACUUGGAAAAAUCUUAACUUCAAUAUACGAAGCCGGAUUUGGGCGUUCGUUUUACGUACAAUCAUGGUUUAAUGACAUUUAAACAUAGAGGGAAUUUCAAUAGAACUUUUUGGACAUUUUAUUAUCAAAGUUAAUUUUAUUAACUCAAAAGUGGUUACAAUACUUGACUUUU
rnacentral:lncRNA from 1 species